rnacentral:lncRNA from 1 species
AUGCGCCAACGCUUUGUGACCUGCUCCUGGUGUUUUAUUUCACCCCUUCGGGAGCCCACGAGGCGGGCGUUACGAAUGGUUUAUAGAGGAACCCGAGGCCUGAGAGACCGCCCCGUCCAAGGGCUGGGACUCCGGCCCUGGCGCUCACCAGUCUCCUGGUGCCCGGCCCGGGACACACGCCUGCACCCACAGGCCCGGGUCCCCGCCCGCAGUCCGCGCUGUGCUCAUCGCCUCCUGUGCCCUGGACGUGGGCAUCCGGCUGAGAGGAGGAGAGGCCGGCCGCGUCCCUGGGGAGCCGGGACACCUCCGUGGACGCGGGCAUCCGGCGGAGAGGAGGAGAGGCCGGCCCUGUCCCCAGAAGCAGGGACGUGCCCUUCCACGUCCCUGGGUGCGGGGAGGUACCCUGCUGUUAAGAACGGUCUCGGGGGAAGAUCUGAAGGUCGCCGCUCUGCCUACAGACACCUUGGGGUCGCUGUGAGUCCGUUCUAGCUUUUACAAUCCUCCCAGAGCAUUUGGGUGCACUCUGCUCCUCUGGCAGCUGCUGAGGGUCCCUGCGGGGCCUGGACAUUCAGCUGGCUGGGCACCGAGGGAGGAACGUCUUCUCGAGGCUGGUGGACACACUGCGGCUCUGCCCGGGUCGCUGUCCGCGCGUCUGGCCGUGUGCUCCUGGCCUGCAGCCCCUUCUUAGCUCUGGGUGGGCCGGGCCUCAGCCCGCCGUUGUCACAGAGACCGCCAGCUCAUCUCCGUCCAGCGGGGUGGAGGGCUCUGUUGUGUUCCUGGGCGGAAUUUUGUGUUUCCUUGGAUAAUGUAUUAUUUUUAUAAUUAGAGAAAAAUAAACAGCAUAUUUUAAAGCCAAAGGCUGGCUGGGACCUUUCUGAUAUGACUUUUCGUGAAUUCGUUCCUUCUUCCGUGGUACUUGGCGGGGAGGAACCAGGGUCGCAUGGGGCAGCCCCCUCUUGCGUUUGUGUCUGGCUUUAAUUAACCACGUGGAGGCAGCUUCCAUGGGAGGGCGGUCUUGCUGCCGCCAGCCCCCAGCCCCUCGCACGCAUCCCCGCUGCCCCCUUGCCCUCCCGCCCCGUCUCGGCCUCUCCGUGGCCCCGUGUCAGGCAGACCCGCAGCAGCCCGUUCCUCUCCCCCAUCCCAAGGGGCUUAGCUGCCUUGUCGCUGUCUUCAGGGCCCCUGGACCCUGUGCUCACC